rnacentral:misc_RNA from 1 species
CCCCCGCUGUUGUGCGGCCGACUYACGGUGCCAGUGUCCCUUCAUUUGUUGGCUAUUUUGUGCCUAUCAUUUGGACGAGUGCUUGCGUGCUGCUACCAGUAACACUGGAAGUUGCAUUGCUAAAUGAUGGUUUGCCGUGCAUGCCCUUGGGUCAUGUCACGUCAACUAUAAAGCGUCCAUGGCGUUGCCUCGUGUAGCUGGCUGCAUAGGCUAGCAGCAUCAAGGCCACCUCAUUGUCGCUAUUGGUCUCGGAUGUGGCUAACUCUGAAGGCUGAAGGUGCUUUGGAACCUCAUGCCUACAAUAGUCCGGUUGCAAACAACGACAGUUGGCCUAGCUGACGCCUUGUGCGGAAGCUAGUGCU